AUUGAACGCUGGCGGCAGGCCUAACACAUGCAAGUCGAGCGGAUGAAGGGAGCUUGCUCCUGGAUUCAGCGGCGGACGGGUGAGUAAUGCCUAGGAAUCUGCCUGGUAGUGGGGGAUAACGUCCGGAAACGGGCGCUAAUACCGCAUACGUCCUGAGGGAGAAAGUGGGGGAUCUUCGGACCUCACGCUAUCAGAUGAGCCUAGGUCGGAUUAGCUAGUUGGUGGGGUAAAGGCCUACCGAGGCGACGAUCCGUAACUGGUCUGAGAGGAUGAUCAGUCACACUGGGACUGAGACACGGUCCAGACUCCUACGGGAGGCAGCAGUGGGGAAUAUUGGACAAUGGGCGAAAGCCUGAUCCAGCCAUGCCGCGUGUGUGAAGAAGGUCUUCGGAUUGUAAAGCACUUUAAGUUGGGAGGAAGGGCAGUAAGUUAAUACCUUGCUGUUUUGACGUUACCAACAGAAUAAGCACCGGCUAACUUCGUG
rnacentral:rRNA from 1 species